AAGUUUAAGAGAGUUACUGUUAUCCUGUUUUACAGAACAGAAAACUGAAAGCAUAAAUAAUUAGUUCACAAUUACACAGGGCACUGUUGCCAUGGUGGCAGUGACCUUGCUAUGUCUCUGUCUACCAUCCAGCAGAAAGAGAAGCUUUGCAGUUGAGAUAGUGUUUAGCAGAUGAGUAGUUUCUUUUGUACACUAACUACUGCUGUAAUU
ensembl:snoRNA